GGAAGUUACAGUCGUAACAAGGUUUCCGUAGGUGAACCUGCGGAAGGACCAUUA
rnacentral:rRNA from 1 species